rnacentral:rRNA from 1 species
AGGGUUUGAUCAUGGCUCAGGAUGAACGCUAGCGGCAGGCUUAACACAUGCAAGUCGAACGGUAACAUGAGUGCUUGCACUUGAUGACGAGUGGCGCACGGGUGCGUAACGCGUAUGCAACUUACCCCAAACUGGAGAAUAGCCUUUAGAAAUGAAGAAUAAUACUCCAUAGUAUUCAGAAGAGGCAUCUCUUUUGUCUUAAAGCUUCGGCGGUUUGGGAUAGGCAUGCGUUCUAUUAGUUAGUUGGUGAGGUAAUGGCUCACCAAGACCACGAUAGAUAGGGGGCCUGAGAGGGUUAUCCCCCACACUGGUACUGAGACACGGACCAGACUCCUACGGGAGGCAGCAGUGAGGAAUAUUGCACAAUGGACGAAAGUCUGAUGCAGCCAUGCCGCGUGCAGGAUGAAUGCCCUAUGGGUUGUAAACUGCUUUUAUAUAGGAAGAAACUUUUCUACGUGUAGAGAACUGACGGUACUAUAAGAAUAAGGACCGGCUAACUCCGUGCCAGCAGCCGCGGUAAUACGGAGGGUCCAAGCGUUAUCCGGAUUUAUUGGGUUUAAAGGGUCCGUAGGCGGGAAGAUAAGUCAGUGGUGAAAGCCUACAGCUCAACUGUAGAACUGCCAUUGAAACUGUUUUUCUUGAAUUUAGAUGAAGUGGGCGGAAUAUAUCAUGUAGCGGUGAAAUGCAUAGAUAUGAUAUAGAACACCGAUUGCGAAGGCAGCUCACUAAACUAACAUUGACGCUGAGGGACGAAAGUGUGGGGAGCGAACAGGAUUAGAUACCCUGGUAGUCCACACCGUAAACGAUGAUUACUCGAUGCUAGCGAUAUACAGUUAGUGUCUAAGCGAAAGCGAUAAGUAAUCCACCUGGGGAGUACGGUCGCAAGAUUGAAACUCAAAGGGAUUU